ACUCAAAUGAAUUGACGGGGGCCCGCACAAGCGGUGGAGCAUGUGGUUUAAUUCGAUGCAACGCGAAGAACCUUACCUACCCUUGACAUCCUCGGGAUCUUGCAGAAAUGUGAGAGUGCCUUCGGGAGCCGAGAGACAGGUGCUGCAUGGCUGUCGUCAGCUCGUGUCGUGAGAUGUUGGGUUAAGUCCCGUAACGAGCGCAACCCUUGUCCCUAGUUGCCAGCGGGUAAAGCCGGGAACUUUAGGGAGACUGCCGGUGACAAACCGGAGGAAGGUGGGGAUGACGUCAAGUCAUCAUGGCCUUUAUGGGUAGGGCUACACACGUGCUACAAUGGGAAAUACAGAGGGUCGCCAACCCGCGAGGGGGAGCCAAUCUCAAAAAAUUUCUCGUAGUCCGGAUUGGAGUCUGCAACUCGACUCCAUGAAGUUGGAAUCGCUAGUAAUCGCGAAUCAGAACGUCGCGGUGAAUACGUUCCCGGGCCUUGUACACACCGCCCGU
rnacentral:rRNA from 1 species